UUGCUUUGGCAGCACAGAUGCUAAAAUCGGAACAAUACAAAGAAGAUCAGCAUGGCCUCUGUGCAAGGAUGACAUGCAAAUUCGUGAAGCGUUUCAUAUUUUU